UUCUUCCCAUUCGGAUGAAGUCUCUAAAACUAACAAUAAGAGCAGGAGUUUUUACAUACAACCAAUGUGUGACUUAAUAAGGCGUAUGUAUUUCUUCAAGCUUUUAUUGCAUAUAUCUGAUGAGUCCCUUCAGUUGUAAAGGAGACCCCACCAAGACUCUGGGCAUCAAACAACUGUCAUAAAUUUUUACAGUAGAACAAACCCACUGAGUCUAACUACGCCUCUCCAGCUGUAACCGGCAAGGUGUUUUUGUUUCUGAUCAUGAAAUGGGAAGUUAUAAAGAUAUAGAAGGAAUGUGGGUUAUGUUCAUUCUCUUUUGUGUGUCUCCCGCAGUUUCUGUCCCAGGCCAGCAGUGAUGGAUUUGCUUUGUUUCAGAGCCCACAGUCCACUUGCAAAACAUGUUCUGUAUCUGGUUUUGCAGCUGUUCAAAGAAUUGUAAACACAGAUUUGGAUGCUUUGGAAAACGGACCCAAACGAAAAAGGGAGGAUACUAUAUAGACCCUGUUCUUCGUAAUAAUACUGUUGCAAGGGAUCAAAAGUGCUUUCGAAUACAAUUUAUUGCUGUUGUUUUUGCUAAAUCAAAUAAAUGCUUUAAGCAAAAACAGGUUUCAAGCCUUCUGCUUAUAAUUGCACUUCAUGUGACUUGACAAUGCUGAUUUCUGUGUAAUUUUUUAAAUCCAUGUUUGGUAAAAAGAAGGAGCUUUUCUACUAGGUCUUCAAAGUUCUAAUAAAAUCAGCUUGCUGGUGCACAUGCUUACUUACAGACACAGUGCAAAUUUAGUCAGAGAAAAGCUCAGCAAAGUCACUCCACUACACCCAGUUGAUCUGAGCUAAACCUGCAAGGGUGAUGGUGCAACUCUUUCAGGAUUUGAAUGUAUUUAAAUCAUGGCCUGAGUUAAAUGUAUACGUACUAAAAAGAAAGUUAAAAACAGAAUGCAUGGAUCAUUAUCCUCAUAACCUUCCAGUGGCAGCCCAUGGACUGCUGUUUCUUGAGUUAGAUUGACAAAAACUGGAAGGAAAGCAUGAGCAAAGGGGAUCUUGAGUACCAUCAGCUGAAAUUUACCUAAAUCCCCACAGCCAAAUACAAUCUGGAAGAAAUAAGAGGUUCACCUUUUGGUCCUGGUCAGUGAUAACUUGCGGGUUGGCUUGAGCAAUAUCCAUCCCUCUACUUGCUAAGUUCCCUAAAAUGCGAUUCUAAAAAAUAAUGUUAAGUAUUCAGGCCAGAGAUAUUUAUCAGAAGGAUAGGAUUUAAAUGGAUAUAUACCUCAUGGCAGGACUUACAGAAAAAUAUAGGUACAAAUAUGCAUAAGUCAUAUUUAGAUACUUUCUAUAAAAUUAGACUGGCAUUAAUUAAAUGGCAGAAAAGGCAAUGAGAGCAUUGUUUGGAAGGUAGCUUGUUCCAAGUUCUGAUUAUAACUUGCUUCCCAAAGAAGGAGCCGCCCACAGCUUAGAAGACAGAUGAGAAGAUCAUCAUCACAGAUUUGCUGUGAACAGCUCUGCUCAGCUCUGUCCCUGCCAGACUUGGGGCCACACACACCCUUCUAAGAUGGCUAGAGAAGAUUCACAAAGAGCACCGCUUCAUGCUCCAGCUUUGGCAACAGCAGAGGAUGAUUUUGUCUCUGGGUAGCUUAAAAUCUUCCUGGAGUGCUGAGAACUGCCCUCAGUAGCAAAGUUAUCACCAUCGUCAUUGCACCUAAUGUUUACUGAGCAUUUACUGUGUGCCAGGCACAAAUUGCUUUGCAUCUUGUCUUAUCUUCAUAGUAAUCCCAUGAGUGAGUACUUAGAAUUACACAAAUUUCAUGGAAAAAGAAACUGAGGCCAAAAUUUGCCUGUGGUUACAAAAAUGGUGAGUGCCAGCGUUGGGACUCGAGUUCAGACAACUUCACUCUUCUAUAAUCUUCAUUUCUUGUAACCAUUAGAGUAGCUUAAUUAGCGGCAGACAACCCAUGGAUUAGGCAUUUUAAAAUGCCACCCCACUUACAAAUCUUUUCCUAUUUAUUCAUUAAUCCUUUGUUUACCCCUUGAAGAGUACUAGGAACUGCCUAAAGCACUGGGAAUCCAGCAGUGAACAAGACAAACUCUCUACCUGUGUGGAGCUUACAUUCUGUAUUCCACACACAUAGCUUCAUUUAUUCCUCAAAAUAACCAUCUAAGUCUGGGGCCAUUAGUGUCACCCACUUUUUAGGUAGAGAGCCAGAGCUCAGAGAGUUGGAGUAACUCAGCCAAGGCCACACAGCUGGUAAAUGGGAGAACUGGGGCUUGUCCUUUGACCUUCAGACUAUCGAUCCUACAUCCGGUGAUGCCCCUGUUAUUCAAGUAUUAUGAUUUUGAGGCGGCUUUCAUAGUUGGGCAGGAUGUUUGUUAGUACUGCAGGGAAGGAAAAUGAGACCAAGCUAACCCUUUGCCUUCUAGUUUCCUAAUUUCCUCCUCUUUCCCCAAUUUCUUGGUUCUUACUUCUGUUAUGCUUCAGGUACUCACUGUUUACUGGUGGUCCAUAGUCUCCACUUCUGUGCCCCCCCUCCCCA
rnacentral:lncRNA from 1 species